UACGGAGGGUGCAAGCGUUAUCCGGAUUCACUGGGUUUAAAGGGUGCGUAGGUGGAGUGGUAAGUCAGUGGUGAAAUCUCCAAGCUUAACUUGGAAACUGCCGUUGAUACUAUCAUUCUUGAAUAUCGUGGAGGUAAGCGGAAUAUGUCAUGUAGCGGUGAAAUGCUUAGAUAUGACAUAGAACACCGAUUGCGAAGGCAGCUUGCUACACGAUCAGUGACACUGAGGCACGAAAGCGUGGGGAUCAAACAGG
rnacentral:rRNA from 1 species